rnacentral:rRNA from 1 species
UACGUAGGGGGCAAGCGUUGUCCGGAAUCAUUGGGCGUAAAGAGCGUGUAGGCGGUUCGGUAAGUCGGCUGUGAAAGUCCAGGGCUCAACCCUGGGAUGCCGGUCGAUACUGCCGGACUAGAGUUCGGAAGAGGCGAGUGGAAUUCCCGGUGUAGCGGUGAAAUGCGUAGAUAUUGGGAGGAACACCAGUGGCGAAGGCGGCUCACUGGACCGGUACUGACGCUGAUGCGCGAAAGCGUGGGGAGCAAACAGG